rnacentral:rRNA from 1 species
CUCCGGUUGAUCCCGCCGGACCCGACUGCUAUCAGAGUGGGACUAAGCCAUGCGAGUCAACAUAGCAAUAUGUGGCAUACGGCUCAGUAACACGUAGUCAACAUGCCCAGGGGACGUGGAUAACCUCGGGAAACUGAGGAUAAACCGCGAUAGGUCAUCACUUCUGGAAUGGGUAAUGACUUAAAUCUAUAUGGCCCCUGGAUUGGACUGCGGCCGAUCAGGCUGUUGGUGAGGUAAUGGCCCACCAAACCUGUAACCGGUACGGGCUCUGAGAGGAGGAGCCCGGAGAUGGGCACUGAGACAAGGGCCCAGGCCCUAUGGGGCGCAGCAGGCGCGAAACCUCUGCAAUAGGCGAAAGCUUGACAGGGUUACUCUGAGUGAUUUCCGUUAAGGAGAUCUUUUGGCACCUCUAAAAAUGGUGCAGAAUAAGGGGUGGGCAAGUCUGGUGUCAGCCGCCGCGGUAAUACCAGCACCCCGAGUGGUCGGGACGUUUAUUGGGCCUAAAGCAUCCGUAGCCGGUUCUACAAGUCUUCCGUUAAAUCCACCUGCUUAACAGAUGGGCUGCGGAAGAUACUAUAGAGCUAGGAGGCGGGAGAGGCAAGCGGUACUCGAUGGGUAGGGGUAAAAUCCGUUGAUCCAUUGAAGACCACCAGUGGCGAAGGCGGCUUGCCAGAACGCGCUCGACGGUGAGGGAUGAAAGCUGGGGGAGCAAACCGGAUUAGAUACCCGGGUAGUCCCAACUGUAAACGAUGCAGACUCGGUGAUGAGUUGGCUUAUUGCUAACUCAGUGCCGCAGGGAAGCCGUUAAGUUUGCCGCCUGGGGAGUACGGUCGCAAGACUGAAACUUAAAGCGAAUUGGCGGGGGAGCA